rnacentral:rRNA from 1 species
GGCUGCAUGGACGCAGCCUGAUGCAGCAACGCCGCGUGAGUGAAGAAGGCCUUCGGGUCGUAAAACUCUGUCCUAUGGGAAGAAACAAAUGACGGUACCAUGGGAGGAAGCCCCGGCUAACUACGUGCCAGCAGCCGCGGUAAUACGUAGGGGGCAAGCGUUAU